rnacentral:ncRNA from 1 species
ACAGUACAAAUUGAUCAGGCGAUACCUAUAGGGGGUAUGGAGCCGGGCCGUUGAUGAUAGCGGCAGCAGAUUGUUUUUUAUGCACAUCUGUGGGACAGU